UACGGAGGGGGCUAGCGUUGUUCGGAAUUACUGGGCGUAAAGCGCACGUAGGCGGCUUUGCAAGUUAGAGGUGAAAGCCCGGGGCUCAACUCCGGAAUUGCCUUUAAAACUGCAUCGCUAGAAUUGUGGAGAGGUAAGUGGAAUUCCGAGUGUAGAGGUGAAAUUCGUAGAUAUCGGGAGGAACACCAGUGGCGAAGGCGGCUCUCUGGGCAGAUACUGACGCUGAGACGCGAAAGCAUGGGGAGCAAACAGG
rnacentral:rRNA from 1 species